UACGUAGGGUGCGAGCGUUGUCCGGAAUUACUGGGCGUAAAGGGCGUGUAGGCGGUCAGGUAAGUGGGACGUGAAAUGCCUCGGCUCACCCGAGGAGCGGCGUCCCAUACUGCUUGGCUUGAGUACGGGAGAGGAUGUGGGAAUUCCUGGUGUAGCGGUGAAAUGCGUAGAUAUCAGGAGGAACACCGGUGGCGAAGGCGCACAUCUGGCCCGAUACUGACGCUGAGGCGCGAAAGCUAGGGGAGCAAACGGG
rnacentral:rRNA from 1 species